AAGGGCACCACAAGAACGCGUGGAGCAUGUGGCUUAAUUUGACUCAACGCGGGAAAUCUUACCGGGUCCGGACACACUGAGGAUUGACAGAUAUACACACAUACGUGUGUUCAAAGAUGCUAGUUCUUUCAUGAUUAUGUGAUAGGUGGUGCAUGGCCGUUCUUAGUUCGUGGAGUGAUCUGUCUGCUUAAUUGCGUUUCAUAAUAUACGUACAUAUUCAUAUGUACAUUUGAAAGCAACGAACGUGACCGUAUUCUUUUGUUAUAUAUAUACGCGAGUAUAUAAACCAAAAUGUGAGACCGCUGUUUCUUUCUUUUAAACCAGAGGAAGGUUAUGGCAAUAACAGGUCUGUGAUGCCCUUCGAUGUUCCGGGCUGCACACGUGCUACAAUGAUUAUAUCAUUAAGUACAUAUAUAUCCUACUCUGAGAAUAGUUGGUAAUCAGAAGUAAUGAUCUCGUAUACGCAUACAUGUAUCGUAUAUACGAAUAUCCUUCACAUAUUGUGUUGUGUAUAUUCAACUUAUACGUAUACGCGUAAAUAUUAAUUCAUAGUGGGAAUAGUCCAUUGUUAAUUGUUGGUCUCGGUCUAAACUAGGAAUGCCUUGUACGGGUUAUUGGUUCAACAAACCACCCGGAAUACGUCCCUGCCCUUUGUACACACCGCCCGUCGCUCUUACCGAUGAACUUCGCUAUGAAUCUAUUAGACUGCGUGUACGCGCGGAAAGAUAUAUGAAUAGUGUGGUUUAAAGGAAAGAGAAGUCGUAACAAGGCAUCGGUAGGUGAACCU
rnacentral:rRNA from 1 species